GACGAACGCUGGCGGCGUGCUUAACACAUGCAAGUCGUACGGUAAGGCCCUUUCGGGGGUACACGAGUGGCGAACGGGUGAGUAACACGUGAGUAACCUGCCCACAACUUUGGGAUAACGCUAGGAAACUGGUGCUAAUACUGGAUAUGUGCUCCUGCUGCAUGGUGGGGGUUGGAAAGCUCCGGCGGUUGUGGAUGGACUCGCGGCCUAUCAGCUUGUUGGUGGGGUAGUGGCCUACCAAGGCGGCGACGGGUAGCCGGCCUGAGAGGUUGACCGGCCACAUUGGGACUGAGAUACGGCCCAGACUCCUACGGGAGGCAGCAGUGGGGAAUAUUGCACAAUGGGCGCAAGCCUGAUGCAGCAACGCCGCGUGCGGGAUGACGGCCUUCGGGUUGUAAACCGCUUUCAGCAGGGACGAAGCUUUUUGUGACGGUACCUGCAGAAGAAACACCGGCUAACUACGU
rnacentral:rRNA from 1 species